rnacentral:rRNA from 1 species
GAUGAACGCUGGCUACAGGCUUAACACAUGCAAGUCGAGGGGAAACGACGGGGAAGCUUGCUUCCCCGGGCGUCGACCGGCGCACGGGUGAGUAACGCGUAUCCAACCUGCCUCUGACUGAGGGAUAACCCGUCGAAAGUCGGCCUAAUACCUCAUGGCAUCGUCUGCGGGCACCCAACGACGAUUAAAGAUUUCAUCGGUCAGGGAUGGGGAUGCGUCUGAUUAGCUUGUUGGCGGGGUAACGGCCCACCAAGGCGACGAUCAGUAGGGGUUCUGAGAGGAAGGUCCCCCACAUUGGAACUGAGACACGGUCCAAACUCCUACGGGAGGCAGCAGUGAGGAAUAUUGGUCAAUGGGCGGAAGCCUGAACCAGCCAAGUAGCGUGCAGGAAGACGGCCCUAUGGGUUGUAAACUGCUUUUAUGCGGGGAUAAAGUGAGGGACGUGUCCUUCAUUGCAGGUACCGCAUGAAUAAGGACCGGCUAAUUCCGUGCCAGCAGCCGCGGUAAUACGGAAGGUCCGGGCGUUAUCCGGAUUUAUUGGGUUUAAAGGGAGCGUAGGCCGUGGAUUAAGCGUGUUGUGAAAUGCAGGUGCUCAACGUCUGCACUGCAGCGCGAACUGGUCCACUUGAGUGUGCGCAACGCAGGCGGAAUUCGUCGUGUAGCGGUGAAUGCUUAGAUAUGACGAAGAACUCCGAUUGCGAAGGCAGCUUGCGGGAGCACAACUGACGCUGAAGCUCGAAAGUGCGGGUAUCGAACAGG